ACACUGAUGCAAGAUGUUAAUAAUAGGGAAAAUUGUAAGAGAGGGAGAGUGAUGGAGUUUAUGGAAAUUCUAUCUAUUCUGAUCAAUUUUUCUUUAAACCCAGAACUUCUCUAAAAAAUAAUGUCUAUCAAUUUUAAAAAUAAUAUCAAUGGAAGAAAGACCAGGGACCUUUUAUGGGUGAAAAGAGUCUUAAAAAACAUAAAAAUCUGUAGAUUUUACUUUAUUAUUUAUAAUCAGCUAUUAGGAGAAAUUUUUUUGUAUGGCUGACAAUCAGAAAAAAAGUUAAUAUUAGAUCAUAUUUAUGAUCUAUUACCAAUUUGUUAACAAUAGGUACAUACACACAAGCAAACACGGCCCUAAAAUUUCCUAGUUCUCUCAAGCUAUUGAUUUCAUCCUUAUCUCUGCUGCUGAGUUCAAGAAAGUGAAAUGUGUAAUGGCUAUCUUUCCUUUCUGGUUUAUUUCAAAGUCAAGUUCUAAUAUAGGUAAACAAAUAAACUAAUAAAGAGAUAAUGCUUUUCUCAUGAAAUGUAUAAUCUAGUAGGAAUAAAGAUAAACAAUUUUUUUAAAAAUUCUAUUUCAUUAAGCAAAAAUGCAACUCGGAAGAAUAAUGUACAUUAGC
rnacentral:lncRNA from 10 species